rnacentral:rRNA from 1 species
GAUGAACGCUGGCGGCGUGCCUAAUACAUGCAAGUCGAGCGAACGGACGAGAAGCUUGCUUCUCUGAUGUUAGCGGCGGACGGGUGAGUAACACGUGGAUAACCUACCUAUAAGACUGGGAUAACUUCGGGAAACCGUAGCUAAUACCGGAUAAUAUUUUGAACCGCAUGGUUCAAAAGUGAAAGACGGUCUUGCUGUCACUUAUAGAUGGAUCCGCGCUGCAUUAGCUAGUUGGUAAGGUAACGGCUUACCAAGGCAACGAUGCAUAGCCGACCUGAGAGGGUGAUCGGCCACACUGGAACUGAGACACGGUCCAGACUCCUACGGGAGGCAGCAGUAGGGAAUCUUCCGCAAUGGGCGAAAGCCUGACGGAGCAACGCCGCGUGAGUGAUGAAGGUCUUCGGAUCGUAAAACUCUGUUAUUAGGGAAGAACAUAUGUGUAAGUAACUGUGCACAUCUUGACGGUACCUAAUCAGAAAGCCACGGCUAGCUACGUG